UCCUUGAGGUCCAACGCUUGAUUCCUUCUACUAGCAUUAUUUUGUUUUCCUAUUUCUUUUUUAUUUAAUAUUUAUUAUUAAUUUUCAAUGUAAUAAUAGAAUUUAAUAUUUAUUAAGAAACUAUUUUUCUGGAGAAGGGCCCGUCGAGUGAGAUAAUGAACGAUGCCCCGAUAAUCCUGCAGCUAUGGGGAACAGGGGUUAUCCAUUUCAUAGCGUAGGCGAGGGUGGGUGAACGAAGUGAAUUGUUACGCUCUAACAGUGAGAGA
rnacentral:lncRNA from 1 species